UACGUAGGGUCCGAGCGUUGUCCGGAAUUACUGGGCGUAAAGGGCGCGUAGGCUGUGCUGUAAGUCAGGCGUGAAAGCCCCGGGCUCAACCUGGGAAUUGCGCUUGAUACUGCGGCGCUGGAAGGUGGGAGAGGAUGGCGGAAUUCCCAGUGUAGAGGUGAAAUUCGUAGAUAUUGGGAAGAACACCGGUGGCGAAGGCGGCCAUCUGGCCCCAUUUUUUGACGCUGAGGCGCGAAAGCGUGGGGAGCAAACAGG
rnacentral:rRNA from 1 species